UGACCUCAAAUCAGGUAGGACUACCCGCUGAACUUAAGCAUAUCAAUAAGCGGAGGAAAAGAAACUAACAAGGAUUCCCCUAGUAACUGCGAGUGAAGCGGGAAAAGCUCAAAUUUAAAAUCUGUCAGUCUUUGGCUGUCCGAGUUGUAAUCUAGAGAAGUGUUGUCGGCGCUGGACCGUGUACAAGUCUCCUGGAAUGGAGCGUCAUAGAGGGUGAGAAUCCCGUCUUUGACACGGACUGCCAGGGCUUUGUGAUGCGCUCUCGAAGAGUCGAGUUGUUUGGGAAUGCAGCUCAAAAUGGGUGGUAAAUUCCAUCUAAAGCUAAAUAUUGGCGAGAGACCGAUAGCGAACAAGUACCGUGAGGGAAAGAUGAAAAGAACUUUGGAAAGAGAGUUAAACAGUACGUGAAAUUGCUGAAAGGGAAACGCUUGAAGUCAGUCAUGUUGUCCAGGGAUCAACCUUGCUUUUGCUUGGUGUACUUUCUGGUUGACGGGUCAGCAUCAAUUUUGACCAUUGGAAAAAGAUUGAGGGAAUGUGGCAUCCUUGGAUGUGUUAUAGCCCUUGGUUGCAUACAAUGGUUANGGUUGAGAACCCGGCCCCCCCGGGCCC
rnacentral:rRNA from 1 species